rfam:Gossypium hirsutum cultivar TM-1 chromosome 24, whole genome shotgun sequence
AAUCUAUGAUGUAGGCAUUUCUGAAUCAAAAUCUUAAAGCACUACCAUGCUUCGUGAAAACUUUCUCCCUCUAAUUGUUUGAACAUAGAUAUUUCUCUUCUUAGCU